GGACAGGUGGCGGAAUUGGUAGACGCUCGCUUUAAGGUGCGGAUAGUCAACGAAAUGUAAAGCUAUCGUGCAGGUUCGAUCCCUGCCCUGUCCA
rnacentral:tRNA from 1 species